CCUUGAGACCGUGACUGCGUACCUUUUGUAUAAUGGGUCAGCGACUUAAUUUCAGUAGCAAGCUUAACCGUUUAGGGGAGGCGUAGGGAAACCGAGUCUUAAUAGGGCGUAUAGUUGCUGGGAUUAGACCCGAAACCGAGCGAUCUAUCCAUGGGCAGGUUGAAGGUUGAGUAACAUCAACUGGAGGACCGAACCGACUACCGUUGAAAAGUUAGCGGAUGACCUGUGGAUCGGAGUGAAAGGCUAAUCAAGCUCGGAGAUAGCUGGUUCUCCUCGAAAGCUAUUUAGGUAGCGCCUCGUGUCUCACCAUUGGGGGUAGAGCACUGUUUCGGCUAGGGGGUCAUCCCGACUUACCAACCCGAUGCAAACUCCGAAUACCAAUGAGUGCAAUCACGGGAGACACACGGCGGGUGCUAACGUCCGUCGUGAAAAGGGAAACAACCCAGACCGCCAGCUAAGGUCCCAAAGUUCUAGUUAAGUGGGAAACGAUGUGGGAAGGCUUAGACAGCUAGGAGGUUGGCUUAGAAGCAGCCACCCUUUAAAGAAAGCGUAAUAGCUCACUAGUCGAGUCGGCCUGCGCGGAAGAUAUAACGGGGCUAAAACUAGACACCGAAGCUGCGGAUGCCAUUUAUGGCAUGGUAGAGGAGCGUUCUGUAAGCCGUUGAAGCGGAAGCCGGGAGGCACCGUGGAGGUAUCAGAAGUGCGAAUGCUGACAUGAGUAACGAUAAGGGAGGUGAAAAACCUCCCCGCCGGAAGACCAAGGUUUCCUGUCCAACGCUAUUCGCGGCAGGGUGAGUCGGCUCCUAAGGCGAGGCAGAGAUGCGUAGUCGAUGGAAAACGGGUUAAUAUUCCCGUACUUGUUAUAACUGCGAUGGAGGGACGGAGAAGGCUAGGCAAGCGCGGCGAUGGUUGUCCGCGUUUAAGGUUGUAGGUUUAGAGCUUAGGUAAAUCCGGGCUCUUUUAAGACUGAGAACUGAUGACGAGACUCUUUAGAGUUGAAGUUGUUGAUGCCAUGCUUCCAGGAAAAGCUUCUAAGCUUCAGGUUAUAACGAACCGUACCCCAAACCGACACAGGUGGUCAGGUAGAGAAUACUAAGGCGCAUGAGAGAACUCAGGUGAAGGAACUAGGCAAAAUGGUGCCGUAACUUCGGGAGAAGGCACGCUCCUGCUGGUGACGAGCUUUACGCUCUGAGCUGUCGGGAGUCGAAGAUACCAGGUGGCUGCGACUGUUUAUUAAAAACAUAGCACUCUGCAAACACGAAAGUGGACGUAUAGGGUGUGACGCCUGCCCGGUGCCGGAAGGUUAAUUGAUGGGGUUAGCUUCGGCGAAGCUCUUGAUCGAAGCCCCGGUAAACGGCGGCCGUAACUAUAACGGUCCUAAGGUAGCGAAAUUCCUUGUCGGG
rnacentral:rRNA from 1 species